GCUAGUCAGAUGGAACUGAGAAAUUAGUGGUGAUUAAGAAGAGAUCAGCAUUACUGAGGUGAAAUCUUCUGAAAAGCGUUUCCUGGGAAUCAGCACAGAGGAACUGUACCAGGCCUGGAAGCUGAACUUGAUGGUGUAAAAUUUACCCAGGUAGUACUGGUUUUGAAGGUAUAAAGGGAGCAUGGUGAGUGGCUGAUUGUGGCAGUAUAGGCAGGGUGGAGUUUCUGAAGAGAGCUCAGGAGUGACUAUUGGUCAAAGUGCAGCUCCAAGGCAGCAGAAGUCCCCAGCAGGUUUGGAGAUGCCAGUACCAUGGGAUGAUCACCAAGGACAGCAGCAGCAGUGGCAUGGAGCCAGCCUAGAAGACAAGCUGUGUGUGCUGCAGAGGGCUGAGCUGGAGAAGAGACCCAAACUCCUUGGAGGAGCCCAGAAGUCUGUUCUUAACUACUGUGGAUGCGCUAUGACCAGCGGCCUCUUGCUUUUCCUUCAAUCUCUCCCAGUCAUUCUGGACAGCGUCUUCUAGAAUGGAGGAUAUUUUCUGCUAUUGACUCUAGGGACUUCUGAAGCCACUUGUAGGAGCCAAGGACUUCUGGACUAGCUUCUAUUUAUAAAUGCAGUUUUCUCAAUGCACCAUAUGCUGGUGACCAAAUAGAAGUACAUCACAGCUCCUCAGGAGGGAAGUCUCUGCAGAGAUACAUUCUAUGGCUGUCAGAAUGACUGAUGUCCUCAAGACUGGCCCUCACGUUUCAGAAUGCCUUUGGUUUCCUGUCCACAACCUUUCUAAGCUGGGGCUUCUGCUAUAUACCAUCUGCAUUAAUGUUCUGUUGCUGCUGUAACCCACCAAAGAGGUGUGGCUGAAAAGGAUGUAGCUUUAUUUUGGUAUAAGUAAAUCCAUGGAAACCAAAAGACCAAAGAAGAUGAUUUGUCCUCAAAUUUCCACCAGUAAAAUUCAAAGUGUCAGUGGGAUUGUAUUAUCUAUGAGGAAAACUCACUUCCUUCUUGUCAUGCUUCUAGACACUUCCAUCCUCCCAAGGAUCAUGGUCAUCUUUCACCUUUCUCCAUCUUUGAGAUCUGAGGAAAGCAAUACUCAUUUCCAUGUCUAACCUUGACCUCUCACUUCAUUCUUUGCAUUCAGGAUCUUCAUAUUCAGGCUGAACCUGCCUAGGUAAUUUAUAACAGGGAUCCUUUUUAAAGGCCUAAGAAAUUUUUAUGUGAACCCAGUAA